AAGGGCAAAACUAAUAAAAAUGUAUAUGCAAUUAAAAGAAGUAAAUAUGCGCUAACUUUGUUUUCUUCUUUUUUUUUCCCCAGCACAUCUACUAGACUUGUGAUUGGCAAAUGCUUUGUUGUCGAAGACAAGCUCUUGGGUAUUGAAGAUUCUAAUUAAAGUAUGUCAAGGAUCCAACUUUAAACUUAGUUGUCAUUGGAAAGCUUAAUGUGACGUUAGAUUGCACAAUACAUUUACCUUUCCGACUGUGGAAAAAUCUUAGCAAGAAUUUGGAGAUCAUAGGUUGAUGGAUU
rnacentral:lncRNA from 1 species